rnacentral:rRNA from 1 species
CCUACGUGAGGCAGCAGUGGGGAAUAUUGCACAAUGGGGGAAACCCUGAUGCAGCGACGCCGCGUGAGUGCAGAAGUAAUUCGUUAUGUAAAGCUCUAUCAGCAGGGAAGAAAAUGACGGUACCUGAGUAAGAAGCACCGGCUAACUACGUGCCAGCAGCCGCGGUAAUACGUAGGGGGCAAGCGUUAUCCGGAUUUACUGGGUGUAAAGGGAGCGUAGACGGCAGUGCAAGUCUGGAGUGAAAGGCGGGGGCUCAACCCCCGGACUGCUCUGGAAACUGUACGGCUGGAGUGCAGGAGAGGUAAGUGGAAUUCCUAGUGUAGCGGUGAAAUGCGUAGAUAUUAGGAGGAACACCAGUGGCGAAGGCGGCUUACUGGACUGUAACUGACGUUGAGGCUCGAAAGCGUGGGGAGCAAACAGGAUUAGAUACCCUGGUAGUC